GAGAGACGUGGGCAUCCUGGGGAGACCCCCAGUGCCCCUCCCCCACCACGGCGGUUAGAAUGCGACGCUGUGUUGACCCGGCGCUGGCCCGGCAACGGUUCUGUGCCAACAGGGAGCGGCAGGGGGCAGAGCCCAGCUCUUCCCCAGCAGCGAUCCUUGGCACUUGGACGCCCUUUGGGAGUCUCUUGGCUGCCUACUGGGCAGGAUUUGAAGGACCACCACUUUGUCCAGCGUGACAGUUGCACUGUCUUCGUCGGGAUGGGCCAGGUCAACUGCUGUCGCGGGUCCAGGGACGACCCUGAGCCCGAGCAGCAGUGCGUGCCCGUCCCAGCAUCUCACCAGCCACUGCUCCGGCAGAGCCAGGCGAAGGCUGGUGCAGAGCAGCAGCCACCACCUCUUUCCUCCGCCUGCAGCGACGGUGGAGUUGGCCACUCGGCUGGUGAGUUUGGGGAAAACAAGAGCAGGACGGCCCUUCUCUCCUCCUCUCCCAGACAGACA